rnacentral:rRNA from 1 species
CCUGGUGGCCAUAGCGAGGGUGAAACACCCGAUCCCAUCCCGAACUCGACCGUGAAACCCCUCAGCGCCCAUGGUACUACGGCUUAAGCCGUGGGAGAGUCGGACACCGCCAGGU